AAAGCCUGAUGCAGCUAUGCCGCGUGUAUGAAGAAGGCCUUCGGGUUGUAAAGUACUUUCAACAAGAAAGAAAAGAUAAAAUCUAAUAUAUUUUAUUAUUGACGUUACUUGUAAAAGAAGCACCGGCUAACUCCGUGCCAGCAGCCGCGGUAAUACGGAGGGUGCUAGCGUUAAUCGGAAUUACUGGGCGUAAAGAGCACGUAGGCGGUUAAUUAAGUCAGAUGUGAAAUCCCUAAGCUUAACUUAGGAACUGCAUUUGAAACUAAUUAACUUGAGUUUCGUAGAGGGGGGUAGAAUUCCAGGUGUAGCGGUGAAAUGCGUAGAUAUCUGGAGGAAUACCAGUGGCGAAGGCGACCCCCUGGACGAAUACUGACGCUCAGGUGCGAAAGCAUGGGGAGCAAACAGGAUUAGAUACCCUGGUAGUCCAUGCUGUAAACGAUGUCGACUUGAAGGUUGUAAGCUUGACUUAUAACUUUCGUAGCUAACGCGUUAAGUCGACCGCCUGGGGAGUACGACCGCAAGGUUAAAACUCAAAUGAAUUGACGGGGGCCCGCACAAGCGGUGGAGCAUGUGGUUUAAUUCGAUGCAACGCGAAAAACCUUACCUGGUCUUGACAUCCAUGGAAUUUAAUAGAGAUAUUUAAGUGCCUUCGGGAACCAUGAGACAGGUGCUGCAUGGCUGUCGUCAGCUCGUGUUGUGAAAUGUUGGGUUAAGUCCCGCAACGAGCGCAACCCUUGUCCUUUGUUGCCAUCAGUUUAAGCUGGGAACUCAAAGGAAACUGCCGGUGAUAAACCGGAGGAAGGUGAGGACGACGUCAAGUCAUCAUGGCCCUUACGACCAGGGCUACACACGUGCUACAAUGGUAUAUACAAAGAGAAGCAGCCUCGUAAGAGUGAGCGGAUCUCACAAAAUAUAUCUUAGUUCGGAUUGGAGUCUGCAACUCGACUCUAUGAAGUCGGAAUCGCUAGUAAUCGUAGAUCAGAACGCUACGGUGAAUACGUUCCCGGGCCUUGUACACACCGCCCGUCACACCAUGGGAGUGGGUUGUAAAAGAAGUAAGUUGCUUAACCAUUAUUUUCGGAGGG
rnacentral:rRNA from 1 species